CUUGAUAUCGGCACAAGAACAAUGAAAGGAGAUCUUGUGAAGUUUGUCAUGAAGUGUUAUGAUCCAGAGUUGUCGAAGCUUGUUAUCCCAGAUAGGGGGAAGAUCCCAGUUGAUGCAACAAGCGUAGAAAGAAUCUAGGGUUUGCCAAGGGGGCAGAGGAAGGUUGCGCAUGAAGUGGAGCCAGACGUACUUAGGUUGUUCAAUGAGACGUUCAACAUCCCGACAGGGCCCACGCCAACACUGACCGAGUGGUGCAAAAUGAUAGAUGAUAUGUGA
rnacentral:rRNA from 1 species